GGGAAAUUAGACCAAUCUGGUUUCACCAUUUCAUCUGCAUAGUUUCCUGCUUGGAUCAGUAAGCCUCAUUGUGUCACUUGCAAGCAAAAGCGUAAGAUCUCUGCGGCAAAAAUAUUGAAAUUCCACCCAUCCCACCCUUCAACGAUUUUGCACCACUUUAUCAUAGCUCAUAUAAAAAAAAAUCUGUAAAUAUUGUUUGGUGAGGCAAUCCAGCACCAAGAUUCGUAUGGAUUGCAAUUCAUGCGUUGUUAAGUAGAGUAUAAUGGAGUAGUUACAGUAGUAGUCACUGGUUAAUUUAUUAUUACAGGCAGGUUUUGUAAUGUAUUGGAAGGCUGGAAAAAAAAAGUUCUUUGGUUGUUGGGGAUGGAGUGCCCCCAAAAGGUCACCGUCAACCCCAUAGACUCACACAAAUCAAUGAAUUAUACAGUUUAUUUUAAAGUAAACAAUGACCAUCACGGGGAUCUACUACCCCUUGGACAUUAAAGUAAACCAUGGCCAUCACGGGGAUCUACUACGCCUUGGACAUUAAAGUAAACAAUGACCAUCACGGGGAUCUACUACCCCUUGGACAUUCAGGA